rnacentral:rRNA from 1 species
GACGAACGCUGGCGGCGUGCCUAAUACAUGCAAGUAGAACGCUGAAGGAGGAGCUUGCUCUUCUGGAUGAGUUGCGAACGGGUGAGUAACGCGUAGGUAACCUGCCUGGUAGCGGGGGAUAACUAUUGGAAACGAUAGCUAAUACCGCAUAAUAGUAGAUGUUGCAUGACAUUUACUUAAAAGGUGCAAUUGCAUCACUACCAGAUGGACCUGCGUUGUAUUAGCUAGUUGGUGGGGUAACGGCUCACCAAGGCGACGAUACAUAGCCGACCUGAGAGGGUGAUCGGCCACACUGGGACUGAGACACGGCCCAGACUCCUACGGGAGGCAGCAGUAGGGAAUCUUCGGCAAUGGACGGAAGUCUGACCGAGCAACGCCGCGUGAGUGAAGAAGGUUUUCGGAUCGUAAAGCUCUGUUGUAAGAGAAGAACGAGUGUGAGAGUGGAAAGUUCAC